UACAGAGGUCUCAAGCGUUGUUCGGAUUCAUUGGGCGUAAAGGGUGCGUAGGUGGCGCUGUAAGUCGGGUGUGAAAUUUCGGAGCUUAAUUCCGAAACUGCAUUCGAUACUGCGGUGCUUGAGGACUGGAGAGGAGACUGGAAUUCAUGGUGUAGCAGUGAAAUGCGUAGAUAUCAGGAGGAACACCGGUGGCGAAGGCGGCUUUCUGGACAGAUACCGACGCUGAGGCACGAAAGCUAGGGGAGCAAACAGG
rnacentral:rRNA from 1 species